AUGGCACAUGGAGUUCUCAGGCCCAGGAAGAGAUCUCAGCCACAGUUGCAACCCAAGCUGCAGCUGUGGCAAUGCCAGGUCUUUAACCCACUGUGCCAGGUCGAGGAUGGAACCUGUGUCCCAGUGCUGAGGAAAUGCCACUGAUCCUGCUGCGUCACAGCAACGAACUCCCAAAACACACUUUGACAAAAAUCAUAGCAAUAUGUUUUGGGUUUAUUUAUUUAUUUAUGAUUUUUAGGGCUGUGCCUGUGGCAUACCCAAGUUCCCAGACUAGGGGUUGAAUUGGAGCUGCAGCUGCCGGCCUACACCACAGCCACAGCCACACCAGAUCUGAGCCGCAUCUGCAGCCUACAGGACAGCCUGUGGCAAUGCCAGAUCCUUCAGCGAGGCAGGUUAAGGAUCCGGCGUUGCCGUGAGCUGUGGUGUAGGUCACAGACUGGCUCGGAUCCCACGUUGCUGUGGCUGUGGUGUUGGCUGGCAGCUACAGCUCCAACUCGACCCCUGGCCUGGGAACCUCCAUGUGCAGCUGGUGCAGCCCUAAAAAGACGAAAGACGGAAAAAAAAAAAAAGAUACAAACAAAUUUACUCACAAAACAGAAACAGACCCAUAGACAUAGAAAAUAAACGUGCAGUUACCAAAGUGGAUUAGGAGGUGAAAAGACAUAAAUUAAGAGUUUUACUAAAAUAUACACGCUAUUACCUGUAAAAUAAACAACAAGGUCCUACGUAUAUGGCAGGAAACGACACCUAAUAUCCCGUAUAACACCCUGCAUGGAAAAGAACACACGCACACGCCUGGAUCAUGCACACGCCUGGAUCAGGUUGCUGUCCCCCUGACACUAACGCAGGAUUCGGCUGCUGCUGCUGUUCUUUCACACGCACCCUAUUACCCACUCAGCCCCUCAGUCGCUAAUUCACCAACACUGACGGAGCGGUUACGAUGUGCCACCGAGGAUCACUCAAGGCGCGGGGAUGCGGAGGCAAGACGAGGCCUUAGCGACACGAGCGACCUGUAGCGAGGAGAAACCAGAGGCGCUCCCUGCUGGUGAUGCAGUAUCCUAAACCAACCACACUGCAAUUUUUUUUUAAAUUGUUAAAACAGGGAAAAAGCGUGCAGUUCACUGAAUGUAAAUUUCACCUUUAACCUGCACGUACACGGAGCUGCGUGCUGCGGGUUACCAACUAAAGCUCACUGAAUGGAGAAGAAGGAAUCCUUGGGGGGGGGGGUGCUGCGACAGGAAUGACCUCACAGAGCAAAGGCUGGGGAGGAGUCAGAGCCCAGGGGCGGCGGGGCGCCCACAGCCCCACAGCUGCCCACAUGUCCACAUCCAACUCCUUGAGCCACAGAGCUCAGCCCCUGCCCUUCUCAUUGCACAGCCUUCAGGUUUUUCCUCACUUUCAUUUACUUUUUUUUUUUUUUUUUUUUUUUGGGCCGCCCCCCGCGGCACAUGGAAAUUCACAGGCUAGAGGUCCAAUCGGAGCCACAGCCACCAGCCUACACCACAGCCACAGCAACCCCAGAUCCAAGCCUCAUCUUCGAGCCACACCACAGCUGAUGGCAUCGCCAGAUCCUUAACCCCCUGAGCGAGGCCAAGGAUUGAACCCACAGCCUCAUGGUUCCUAGUGGGGUUCGCUUCCGCUGCACCACGACAGAAACUCUUCCUCUAAGUUUGAAUGAAGAAAACUUUACCAUAACUUUGGUUUCACAGGAUAAAAGCAGCCACUUAGUACUGCCCCCUUUGAAGGGACUCAUCCUUCAGCCCUUCCGACUCCUUGAUGCUGAAACUGCUCAAACAGGACAAGCAGAGCUCAGGGUCGUUGCGAAGCCCACGUUCACACACAGGAACCACCCUGAAUAAAUGGGCAGCGCAGUCACAGGCUCCUGCUCCUGCGGACAGCCUGCCCUCUGCCCACCCCGCAUCACUCGGCAGGGAAACGGCCUUCUGAGUGGCCACAGCCCGCCCAACACAAGUACUCCCCGCACAGUGCUUCGUGGGCGUCCAACCAGUCCUUACUAAGGAAAAACCCACCCAGAGAGGUGGUUUCAGACUUUGCAGGGUUCCCUCCCCGCCAGGUCCCUGCAUAAGAAAGGUACUCUGGCGGGAGGCGGGAGCAGAGUCCAGGCCCACAGGGAAGUAAACGCCGUGUUCAGAACAGCUGGGGUUUUGCCUUCUUUGUUUUGCUCAUGGCCAUGGCAUGUGAAGUUCCGGCAGGGAUCAAACCCGUGCCACAAGAGCGACGAGGGCGCGGCGGUGACAACGCCGGAUCCUCAACCCGCCAAGCCACCUGGGGCCGCCCUGAUCAGCGCGUUAGUACUCCAUCGUGUCCCGGUCGAGUACACACCGCGCAGGGCUUCCCGCUCAGUGUCAACACCCAGCAUUCUCAAAUUAUCUCGUCAGCUUCAUCAACUUUAGCACAGCUCGGUUGUUAGCAUUAUUCCCGAGCUUUUAAAUUUUACUAAAAUGCCCAAAAAUGGCGGGAGAAGGGACUGUUCUUCUUCUCCAUAAAUUAAUUCACCCUCCUUUUCAAACAGCUAUUUUUUCUAGUUUGGCCUAAUACUAUUUCUUGAAGUAGCUCCUACAUAUACAUAUUUUUAAUUAGACUCACUGUGAAUCAUAAGAAAACUGAAGAUAAAAUUUCUUUCUAGUAAUUCUACGGAGAUUUUUAUGAAAAAGUCCCAAAUAAUUAGGAAAUAAUGUAUAAAGCGCCCCUUCUUAUAAUGAAUCUGACGUCAAGGUUUAAAGCAUAAAGAAACAAACCAACAACUGGGAUGAUAAAAGCGGUUGGGUUUAGGCCAAUCCACAGCACACUAGAUUACCACGACGUACAAUUCUGCAAACACUAGCGGAACAGGAUCAGUUUUAGAGCUGCGAACACCUCCCAAGGAGAACGGAUCCAAAGGCACAGCUCCACGGAGGACAAGCCCACCAGAGCCCCGGCCCUCAGCUCUGGCGUGCUUGUCUGCACGCGUGGCUCUGCCACGGGAUAACGGAAAGCCACACCAUCACGCUCGGGGUCUCUCCCGGUGGAAACGCUGGCACGCCAGCUUCUGAAUGUUCUCGAUGGGACAGCCUCGCACAAACACCCAAUGUAUCCCUCCCACUGGGUUUUCACACAUGCCAGGACACAGCCCCUGUCUAUGGAGGUUCCCAGGCCAGGGAUCCACUCGGAGCUGCAGCCACAGCUACUCGGGAUCCAAGCCGCGUCUGUGACCUACACCACGGCUCACAGCAAGGCUGGAUCCCCGACCCACUGAUCGAGGCCAGGGAUCAAACCCGCCUGCUCACGGAGGGUUUGCUGAGUUCAUUACUGCUGAGUUCAUUACUGCUAGUUCAUUACUGCUGAGCCACCAGGGGAACUCCCCCAGAAGACUAUUUUAAUCAAUGCCCUGACUCCACGAUAAGUCGUCCCCAAUCCACUUACGACGUGUCCCACACGUGAUCAUCUUGCCUCGUGUGUGAGGGAGGGGUGGGGGAGCGAGGGACAGAGGGACACUGACCUGGGCUGGGGCAGUGUGGCUGGAGAGCAGUGAACCAGGUAACCAGGGGGCUGGAGGGCUAGGAUGGCCGCCUGCAUCAAAGGCGUGGGCUCAGGGCCAGGUGCCAGGCAGGGUGGGAAGAGAGAGACCUGCCCCUGGACGUACUGAGCUCUUUGGAGCCUCUGACCGUAGCUCAGUCCAGCGGGUCAGAGACGCUGGACUCAUCAGAGAGGGUGGCCGAAACCCAGCUGAACACGUCAGUUAUUAUAAAGUCACGAGAGAGGAGGAAGCAAGAGGGAAGUCUGAGCAGCACCUCCUCAAAAGGGCAGGAUCGCAGGAGACAAACGGAGAAGGCGCCGUCAGAAGCAGGAGCGUCCGCGGCGCCGGCCACGCCCCCAGCCUUUCACCCAGCAGCUUGGCGGCCUCGUUGGUUAAAAAAAAACAAUGCAAAAAACCCGCCCCCUGGGCAAUUCCGCUGAGCAGGGAAUGUGCAGAACAAAUGAGAGGUGAGUAAGAUAAGGGCCGGCUUGUAUCCAGUGAAUCUGGCAAAUAAGGGGUCAGCGAGAUAAAGACGUGGACGGGACGGACGGGGCGUCCGGAAGUGAAGUGCGACACAAAGGGGCAGCGCUGGCACAGGGACAGGCAGCCUUCCAACUCGGAGAGGGAAACGCCGCGCCAUUCAGCAAACGGCCCUGGGACAGCUACGGUAUCAUGCGGAAAACAUAAAAGCAGCUUUGCACCUGAUUCCAAAUCAAUUCCAGAUGGACCUGUGAGACGUAAAGGAGAAAGCACACGAAGGCAGCACAGAGAACGACUACGAUGCAGGAUGCACGGCGCAUCUGUGAGCAGAACCCACACGUGUGUAGAGACAUACGUCCAGUGCAUAACAGAGGACAAUGUCUAAUCACAACACGACACCCGGAAAGCCUCACGAGACUGAUACAAAUGGUAUGUG
ensembl:lncRNA